rnacentral:tRNA from 1 species
GCGGGUGUAGUUCAAUGGUAGAACAGAAGCCUUCCAAGCUUAUAACGAGGGUUCGAUUCCCUUCACCCGCUCCA